rnacentral:rRNA from 1 species
AUUGAACGCUGGCGGCAGGCCUAACACAUGCAAGUCGAGCGAGAGGCGGACGGGUGAGUAAUGUCUGGGAAACUGCCUGAUAGAGGGGGAUAACUACUGGACACGGUAGCUAAUACCGCAUACUAUCAGAUGGGCAUAGAUGGGAUUAGCUAGUAGGUGGGGUAAGGGCUCACCUAGGCGACGAUCCGUAGCUGGUCUGAGAGGAAGACCAGCCACCCUGUGACUGAGACACGGCCCAGACUCCUACGGGAGGCAGCAGUGGGGAAUAUUGCACAAUGGGCGCAAGCCUGAUGCAGCCAUGCCGCGUGUAUGAAGAAGGCCUUCGGGUUGUAAAGUACUUUCAGCAGGGAGGCGUUACCCGCAGAAGAAGCACCGGCUAACUCCGUGCCAGCAGCCGCGGUAAUUC